GGGAAGAGAAAGGAGAGGAGAAAGCUCUUGAAUAUUCGGUCACUUGGGGAAGAAAAUUGAAGGUAAGUUCAUGGUAGUUUGCUUUUAUUUUGAGGUUCAUGAGUUCUUCUUGAUUCUACCUUAACUCUUGAAGCAUAUUUUGGUUGUUAGUUGUGUUGUGAGCAUUUAGUCAUGAAUUAAAUUGAAGGAAAUGGUUGUUGUUUCAUGUUCUUUUGAUGAAACAUGGAAGAUAGGUGAAGUUGAGCCAAACAAAUGAGCAUGCAUGUGCCUUAGAUGCUAAAGGGAAAAAUUGGCUAACAUGUUGUGCUUUAAAAUGAUGAAAUGGAUAUUAUACUUAAGUAAAAUCAUAGAUAUGUGAUGAUUGAUUGGUGAUAUACAUGUUUAAAUAACAUGCAUGCAAGGUAUGUGUGAAAGAGUUGAUUUGGUAAUAAAUCUGCUUGGGAUAGCAGCAGUAAUGUGACUUUAAAAAAUCACCAUAAAUUGUGGGAGAUGAAUUAGAAGCUGAAUAAAUUAUGUAAUUAAAGCUUAAUGAGUCUAGUUUCAAAUGGAAUAAACGAGAACAUAUUUUGAAUUCUGUACAAUGAGAAAUUUGAUUCGUAAUGAAGAGUGAUCAGAUUAGUCAAACAGUGAAACAUGGCAAACUUUAAGAAAAAUCUGGUAUUGAUUGGCCAUACCAAAAAUUCUGAAAAUUUUAUGGAUAGAAUAUAUAUGAGUCUAUUUUCAGGGAAAAUUAACGGAACUUUAUUUGGAGUUUCGUAGCUCCAGUUAUAAAUAAUUUAGUGGCUGUUGCUCAGGAAGACAACUUGCAGUGAAAUUAUGAUUAUGUGGUAAACAUUGACAAAAAUUUGUUAAUGAGUUGCUUAUUGUUUUCUUAUAAGCUUACUAUGAUCUGUAGGUGUGGUUGGCCGAAUAUUGUAAGGGGUUAAUACGUAUUUUGUAUUUGAAUAGUUAGAUUAACGUGUUAGUAAUCCAAUUGUAGGCAGUUCGUAUGUGGAUCUCGUCAGCAUAUCGUCGCAAACAGGUGUGUAACUAACACCCUCUUUUUUAGUCUGGAUCGGCAAAAGUCGAAAUGCCGAAAAUCGGUAUUUUGUAGAUUUGCAAGUGUGCGAAUGCUCGUGAGGUAAAUCGAUUAAUGUUUUUGGUAAGCUGCAAAAUUUGGACUGCAAAGUGCAUGAUUUCUGUACCCUCGAUAUUUUUGGGCUUAAUGGGCCAAAAUUGGAAUAAUGGGCCAACGGGCCCAAUUCGGUAAGAACCCUCGGUACGUGAUUCUGUUAGUACGUGAAAAGUAGGAAUAUGCAUGAAAAACCCUAAAAUAGAUAAAUUACUGAAAUACCUUUAAAAGUGGAAAAUUUACAGUUUUACCCCUAGUAGAUAAAUUACCGAAAUACCCCUAGGGUUAAAUUGACCUAAAUGCAUGUUUGACUAUUGUUAUACUGCAUGCCAUGUUGUUAUUAUCUGAUGCAUGGGAUUGGGAUAUUGACGGAGGAAGUAUUGAAAGUGGCUUGUCCACGUACUGGAGGCUUUGCCUCAAUUUACUGUUAACUGAGCAGCAAGGCUGCAACUGUGGAGUGUUGGGCUGGGUGGGUUGAGCUAUUCCCCACAUGGAGUGUAGG
rnacentral:lncRNA from 1 species